CUAGCGGACCGGGCCCCUCUGACGAUCUUUCUUCGGGAAAGGUUGUGAUGUCGGACCGCGUCG
rnacentral:ncRNA from 1 species